ACACCUCAACUCUUUAUGGUUUUCCAUGAUGAGCUUGGACUUUGGGGGUUUUGCUGGCCUACGGUCGGCUCCUCUAAAAUAAAUCAGCUUGCCAGUGUUUGGUGGGUAUCAUGGGUGUGAUAACUAUCUACGCUUGUGGUUUUUCCACCAGGUAACCUUCAGCAGUGGAGGUUCGCUGGGGCUCAUAAAUGUCUCUCCUCAGUGAGGACAGCUUUUUUGAAC
rnacentral:misc_RNA from 1 species